CAGCAGGCACUGUGGAAAAUGGGUUUGUGCUAGGUCGGCUCUGGCAGUGUGUUUUCAAUGACUUUACAAUCACUCUGAAGCCUGAAUGCUGGCCCUGUUUUACAAAUUGGCCUAUUUAAGGAGUCCUGAACAGGCCUGGCAGGCCCAGCGCUGCGUGCCUGUCUGAUCCCAGACACYAGUGAAACAGCCCGUGAAAUAUCCA